rnacentral:rRNA from 1 species
UACGUAGGGGCAAGCGUUGUCCGGAAUCAUUGGGCGUAAAGAGCGUGUAGGCGGCUCGGUAAGUCCGCUGUGAAAGUCCAGGGCUCAACCCUGGAAUGCCGGUGGAAACUGUCGAGCUAGAGUCCGGAAGAGGCGAGUGGAAUUCCUGGUGUAGCGGUGAAAUGCGCAGAUAUCAGGAGGAACACCAAUGGCGAAGGCAGCUCGCUGGGACGGUACUGACGCUGAGACGCGAAAGCGUGGGGAUCAAACAGG